AUUGAACGCUGGCGGCAGGCCUAACACAUGCAAGUCGAACGAGUGGCGGACGGGUGAGUAAUGUCUGGGAAACUGCCUGAUGGAGGGGGAUAACUACUGGCACCUGUAGCUACUACCGCAUACCAUCAGAUGUGCCCAGAUGGGAUUAGCUAGUUGGUGGGGUAACGGCUCACCAAGGCGACGAUCCCUAGCUGGUCUGAGAGGAUGACCAGACAAACUGGAACUGAGAAACGGGCCAGACUCAUACGGGAGGCAGCAGUGGGGAAUAUUGCACAAUGGGGGCAAGCCGGAUGCAGCCAGGCCGCGUGUAUGAAGAAGGCCUUCGGGUUGUAAAGUACUUUCAGCGGGGAGGCGUUACCCGCAGAAGAAGCACCGGCUAACUCCGUGCCAGCAGACGCGGUGAUAC
rnacentral:rRNA from 1 species